CUUUAAGGAGCUGUAUCUUAGCACUAGUCUUUUAAACUAGAGAAAAUAAAUAAUAUUCUUGAAGA
rnacentral:tRNA from 1 species